UCCAAUAGGUUCCCUGUUGCUGGGGUCAGACUCCAUGAGGGCAAGCAGUCAGGGCAGCUGCUUUGCAGAAGGCCAAGUGCCCUGUGUGAGUUGGGAGAAGCUGAGCCCAGGAGCAGAAAGCAGGCUGUUGUCCCUAACUCUGAAGCAUUUUGCAGCAGGCUAGUGAUAGUGUUACCCUCUAACAGGGAAGCAUGGGAAAUGCUAAUUAUAGCAAGAAGAAUUGGGGGCUCUGGCACUGACAUAAACCAUGAGAACCUCAGAGAUGGAAUUACAGCAUCAUGUUUUGCAGGUGGAACAAAGAGGGGGAACCAGCACCAUGUGACCAAACAGCUUCUCACUGACAACCAGAAAGUGGACAAAAAGACUUCCCAUUGGGAACCACAGCCUGAUCAACCAUGAAACAUAGCUCCACUGAUAGUGCUGUGGAGUUGGGUGUUGGGAACAGGGUCGGUGUGAGGUAGCUAGUUCCAGGACUAUGGUUGAGCUACAAAUCAUUCUCCCCUGUGUACGCAGGUGUUUUGAGUGCUACUGAGUCCUGAGUAUACCAAAGAGAAUCAGAUUCCUAAAAAUAAAUCCAAGAAUUUGCUAAGUACAUUGAAUGCUGUGGAAUUCCAAGAGCUGUGGUUAUAAUUAUGCGCAAUAACUCAGUACUUAUAGCCUAUUUGCAUUUCUGUCAAAUCUGCUCUCUCAGGCCUGGUCUACACUACUAAGUUAGGUCAACCUACGUUAACUAGUUUUGACUUAACUUUGGCAGGAAACGUAUUUAGAUGUAAACAUUUGCAAAGUACGCAUCCUGUUACAGCAACAUAGUAACACCACUUUCCUGAAUGGGAGGCUCAGUCAACCUAGUCUCGUUGAUGCAGUGCAAGUGUAGACGCUGCAUUAUGUGUGAGGACCCUCAAGUUUUCCAGCAGCUGUCCCAUAAUGUCCCUGUCCCUAUAACAGUGAUUGCUCCAAUCACAAUUUUGAACUCCACUGCUCUGUGGUCAUAGACACUGGAAGCCCCCACACCUUAAUACUCCUAGCAUGUUUUUGAAAUGCCUUUUCCUGAUUUCCUACCUUGGUGAGCAUACCUAUUGGCCCACUAUGGUGAGCAUACAACCAUGCCAGCUCCACACAUGCAGAGAGCUACUAGACACACUCAGGAGGAGGAAAGAAGUCGUGGAUCUCCUCAGCCUAUGGGGAAAAGAGACUGAAUAUCUUUGUCUGCUUCUUAGCUUUGCUUGCACAGACAUAUCUGUGCAGAUUGCAGAGGGGACAUUGAACCUGGGGCACAGCAAAGAUGAGCAGCUGUGCUGUGUGAAAAUAAAUGAAUUUCAGCAGCUGUAUCAGAGGGAGAGAGAGGCCUGCUGCUUCUACAAUGAACUGCAUGCUAUAUUUGGCAUAGAUGCUACCUGCAUGUGUGUGAACACUUCAUGGGAGCCUGAUGCAGAGGCCCUGGCAGUGUGCAAUGAGGCAAACUAGAAGGAAAUGCAAACCAUGCACUGAGCCAGGAGCUGUCUGAAACUCCACCAGAGUCAAGCCAGUCAUGCCAUGCUAGCGCAGAUGACGACCAUUAGUGCCAACCUCAAGGCAGACUAUCAAGAAGCAGGGCAGAGAUCCCAAACUGGUUGUAUGCUCUAGAACUAGAUUUCACCAACCCAGUAAUAAGUAUGAACUCCUACAGCACUAUAACAGUCUUACCAUGUAGUCACACAGUCCCCUUUUGCUUUCCAGUCUAUCUUGCCACUCAGAGAAACUGGACUUAAUGAUAGCCCCCCAACAAACUGAAGAACGGAAGAGCGGAUACCACAUCUACCUCUUUUUUUUCUACCUCUGUCUGAGCACAGGACACUGAUCUGAUGUGGACUGUU